ACAUCGGUAGCACAGUGGUUAGUGCAGUCUGCCGGAAACAGAAAGACGAACAAACAGAAAGGGUUCAAUUCCCGUCCGAUGUC
rnacentral:tRNA from 1 species